AUUGAGUAUGGAUUGAGCAUCACACUAAAAACCUUUCCCGGAAAAAGAGACCAAAGGAUGUAAACUGAAAAUUUUAAAAAUCUUCUUUGUUUUCCUCAAAUUGCUGAAGAUCCAGAGAUGGUCCUGGCUUUCCAGUUAGUCUUCUUCACCUACAUCUGGAUCAUAUUGAUACCAAAUGUUUGUGCUGCUUCUAACAUCAAGAUGACACACCAGCGGUGCUCCUCUUCAAUGAAACAAACCUGCAAACAAGAAACUAGAAUGAAGAAAGAUGACAGGACCAAAGUGCGGUCUCAGAAAUAUGAGCAACUUCUCCAUAUAGAGGACGACGAUUUCGCAAUGAGACCUGGAUUUGGAGGGUCUCCAGUGCCAGUAGGUAUAGAUGUCCAUGUUGAAAGCAUUGACAGCAUUUCAGAGACUAACAUGAUCCUUCAUCCAUGAUACAACUAUGGAGAAUAUCAUGCUACGCGUACACCCUGAUGGAAACGUCCUCCUAAGUCUCAGGUUGGUACAAUAGGCUUUUCAUCAACUUUGUGCUAAGGAGGCAUGUUUUCUUCUUUGUGCUGCAAACCUAUUUCCCAGCCAUAUUGAUGGUGAUGCUUUCAUGGGUUUCAUUUUGGAUUGACCGAAGAGCUGUUCCUGCAAGAGUUUCCCUGGGUAAAUCUUUCCCCAUCUUUAUAAAAUGUUAACAUGGGAGAAAGUUCAAGGGAGGUAAAUAAAAUGGGUCAUACAUGGAGAGGAAAAGAGAGUGGUGGUUUAGUAGGGAUAGUCAGAGAUGAACAUCCAGGUUGCAGUAUCGAUCUUGACAUCCUCAAGGGCAAAUUGUAAUUGAGUUCUUUCCUUGGGAACCCGGAUUUUAGGGAUGAAGUCUUUGCUGACUGACCUGCAGUUGGGUGAUAGUAAAGAAAGGGGGUGAAAUUAUGAAGCAUAAACAGCCUCACUUUUAAAGCUUAUCUCUUUUCUUUUUUAAGGGAACCUCCCCAUGCAUUAUACAAGUCCACUUAGCUUUUCAGGACAAACCCUUAUAUCACAGAAAGGAAAACCUUCAAACUAAUUCACACUAUACUCUUAGUGUAUUAAUAACAAAUUACCUUGGUGGGUUAACAAGAACGUGGAAGGGAUGCUUGAAUUUGAAAAUAUGAAUACUGAUUAGAAAUUAGGACUUAACUAAAAGGCCAAAAUCAGAAUCAACCACAGUGGAAUUUCAGGUACAGUGGCAUAUUAGUUGGCAAGAGAUUUUAGGUGGAGAGACGUUGCCAGCCUCAUUAAGUCACUACACAGGGGUGAUUAUCUACACCGUCUAACAUGCUAUAUGCUUCUGUCACACACACUGAUUUAUGGGAACCAUUUCAGACCCACUUAGCAGUUAUUGAGAUCUUAGAAAGUAGAAGAUACCAAGCUAAGCACUUAGAUGACAUGUUACUUAAUGAGAACCCAAGAGAUAAUCCCACUUGCCUUUUUUGCUGGUCAGGGCAGAGCCCCCUCAUUUUAUCUGAUUUUGUUCUUUCAUUUGUAAUGCUCUAUCUAGAGAGAAGAUUGUUAUUAUUAUAAUCAUUGUUACAAUUAUUGUAAUUAUCACACAAUUCAUUCCAGAAAGGGUGGUUUGUAAGUUAAUGUUCACAAAUUAUAUGCAUACUUCAAAAGAUCAUUUGAAAGACAUAAAUUAUUAAUAUUAACAAUUUGCUCACCUCCUUUCCCUAUUAAAAUAUUCAAGCUACAACCAUUUGAGACUUGAAUAUCUUCAAGGAAAAAAUACCAUCUGAAUAAGUAAUUAAAUUAUUUGAACUGUUUCUUCACAUCAGAGCAGGUGCCCUAACCUCAGUACUGCAGUGUGGCAGCAUAGACCCAAACACAAGACCAAGGACACAUUUCCAGCCCUCUAGACACAAUGAGAAAAGCACUCAGUCUAUAAAGGUUUAUGAACAUGAUUUUCAAUCAGAUUUCUGAAGUUGACUGCUCUGCUCUAUACUGUGAAAAUGACAGCAAUAAGAGCUACUUCCAUGGAAGGGUGGAGUGAAUUGGGAACACUAAAACACUUUUAAGACAUCCUUGAAAUUCUCUGCUUCUUGCAACCACAUCUGCUCCCUUAGGGUUAGGAAAUUGCUAUGCAGAUUUAUGUAAAAUGCAUGCAAAUCAUAAGUGUCCCUCUCCCACUUUUUAAAAAAAUUAUUUUAAGAGAACAGUAGUAUUCCUAUAAAACUGUUACCCUCUCAGGCUUUUGCUUCCUACCACCCUCACUUUUUUUUCAAAGAUGCUUUGCCCUCUUCUUCCCUAGCUCUUUGCAAAUGCUUAGCUGCCCAGUUCUCUGGAAGGUCCCUAUGAAUACCUAUUCAUCUGUCCCACUUACCUUUUCUCUUCUGCCUCCUUCCUUCACCUUCUCCACAGCAUUUGACAUUAUUAGGCAUCCUCUCCAAAUCUAGGACCAACUUUAGUGGUCAAGAGUUCCAGCCUCAUCUUCCUCAUCUGCAAAAUGAAAUUGUUCAUACCACCUCCUAAAGGUCACUGUGAGAAUUAAAUGGGAGAAUUAAUUAGUUUAAUCAUGUCAACAGCCUAGCUUGAUGCCUGGCCCAUAGUGUUGGAUAAAACCAACUGCACACACAAUGCAUUAGUUUUCAAUACUCUCCGCUAGUCUAGUUUUUUUCUACUCCCGAAGACUUUUUUUUUUCCGUUUCUCUUUCCUGCUUUUUCUUCCACUCUUUAAGCAUGAGUAACUCCCUCCCAAGGAUCUGCUCACUUUUGACUCUUAUCAAAUGGAACAAACUUUUUAAUUCCAACUACUGUCCCUAUGUAAGCAUGUUCCAUUUGGGUACUUUCAGGUGUAUACUGGACUUUACCUUCAGGUACUACAAGCAUUCAGCCUGUUUAGAACCGAGUCUUUCCUUGGGAACCCAGACUUCAGGGAUGACGGUUGUGCCAACAGACCUGUAGCUGGAUGAUAGUAAGGAAAGAGAGUGAAAGUAUGAAGCAUAAAUAGCCUUAUUUUUAAAUCUUAUCUUUUCCCUUUCUAGGCACUCUCCCAUGCAUUACCCAAGCUCAUUUAGCUUUUCGUGACAAACCCUUACAUCACGGAAAAAAAAGAACCUUCAAACUAAUUCAUAUUAUACUGUUGGAGUCUUAAUACUGACUUACUUUAAUGGGUUAGCAGGGAAGCCACUUAUUCUCUUCACUUUCCUCAUUCUGGUCGGGGCCUUCCAGUUUGUUGAGCCUUUCAUAUUGAAACCUCAAUUUCCUUCUUAAUCUUUGGCAGUGAUUCUCAAACUAUGGCCUUAGGACCCAUUUAUACUCUUAAAAAUUAACGAGGACCCUAGAGAGCUUUUGUUGCUGUGGGUCGUGUCUAUCAUUAUUAGCCAUAUUAGAUGUUAAAAUAGAAUUUGAAAAUAGGUAUUAAUUCACUUAAAACUAGGAAUAAUCAACUCAUUACAAGUUAACAUGGUAACAUUGUAUGAAGCAUAAUUAUUUUUUCUAAAACAAAAACAUUUAGUGAGAAGAGUGGCAUUUUUAAACAUUUUUGCAAAUAUUUAAUGUCUACCUUUAUAGAGGGCAGCUGGAUUCUUAUCUCUGUUUCUUCAUUCAGUCUAUUGCAAUAGGUUUUGGUUGAAAUAUAGGGAGAAAUCAGACCUCAUCAGAUACAUAGUUUGAAAAGGGAGUAGUAUUUUAAUAGUCUUUCCAGAUAAUUGUGGAUAGCCUCCCUUCACAUUACACCAAAACUCAGCAAGUGAUAGUUCCUUAAAGUUUAAUUGCAAUGUGCUAUCUGAAACCAUGUCAACAAAUAUUUUCUACUCUGUUAGAUUACAAUCCAUUGGUCUAUCUUAUACUUUUGAUUACAAUCCAUUGGUCUAUCUUAUACUUUGAAUAGAUAUUUCACUGAUGCAUUGGUCAUUUGGAAAAUAUUGGUUCACUGAGUUACAGAGAUCUUCCAAAUGUUUACAUAAUUCAUUAUACUGGUUUGGAUCAUAAUCUCAAACGACACAAUACCAAAUGCCGUAAUCCUGAAUGCUGAAAUCCUGAAAGAUCAAAAUCCCUAAAGUCUAAAUCCCUCGAGUCUACAAUCUCAAAAAUCACAAUCACAGGAUAAUUACAUCAUGUUAGGCCAGUUACUAUGCACUAUCUUCAUGCAAUUGCCUAUAACCUAUCGCUGUUGUACACUGUUUCAUAUAUGAAAUUUUCUUUUUGGUUUUUGGUCUGUUUUUCUUAAGUUUUUUUUUUACUAUUUUUAAUUGUCAGAAUUAUAUUAAAUUUGCUAUGCUAUGUAUUUCAUCUUUGCAUCAUUUCUAGUAGUAGAGACAUAAAGAAGUUAGACUGUUAGAGAGUUCUAAUUUAUAUUAUGCAUUUUUGCAAAUUUAGCUCCAUGAAAGUGCAUUAUCACAUUAACUUUGUGUGUAAGUAUUGUGCAUGUAUGUAAAAAUGUUGAAACUUUCUCAGUAAAUGAAGACAUGUCCUUUUUGUACAUCUGCAUUUGUGAAAGAUAAAAUUUCAUGAGAUCUCAGCUCUUUGGGUGACUGCAUAUGUGGUGGGGGACCAUCAUGGUUUUUGAUCGAUCCUCAUAAGACUUAGGUUGUUCAUCAUGGUGUUUCAGAUGACCACAGUUGUAAAGCUGGGUGCCCACAAUGACCCACCAUAGUGAUAUGCAUUUAUAUGUUUCCCUUUUGACCUAUUUCUGUAUCAAUAUAGUUCAUCUGCUCAUAACUGUUAUGCCUGUGCAACUGUUGUUAGUAUACCUGAGUGUUUAUGCUUACAGAAAUACGUGUGUUUUUAUUGCCUUAUUUUACUGUGUAAAGUGGCUUAUGAAGUGUUAUGUCUUUUUUAUGUUUCUUAAAUAAAUUACCUUUUUAAAAUAUAAA
rnacentral:sRNA from 1 species